rnacentral:rRNA from 1 species
AGUCGACGAUGAGCUCCAGCUUGCUGGAGUGGAUUAGUGGCGAACGGGUGAGUAACACGUGAGUAACCUGCCCUUGACUCUGGGAUAAGCCUUGGAAACGAGGUCUAAUACCGGAUAGGAGCACUCAUCGCAUGGUGGGUGUUGGAAAGAAUUUCGGUCAUGGAUGGACUCGCGGCCUAUCAGCUUGUUGGUGAGGUAAUGGCUCACCAAGGCGACGACGGGUAGCCGGCCUGAGAGGGUGACCGGCCACACUGGGACUGAGACACGGCCCAGACUCCUACGGGAGGCAGCAGUGGGGAAUAUUGCACAAUGGGCGCAAGCCUGAUGCAGCGACGCCGCGUGAGGGAUGACGGCCUUCGGGUUGUAAACCUCUUUCAGUAGGGAAGAAGCGAAAGUGACGGUACCUGCAGAAGAAGCACCGGCUAACUACGUGCCAGCAGCCGCGGUAAUACGUAGGGUGCGAGCGUUAUCCGGAAUUAUUGGG